UCGAGAAUCUUUCACAAUGGGGGCAACCCUGAUGGAGCGACGCCGCGUGGAGGAUAAGGUCUUCGGAUUGUAAACUCCUGUCAUGCGAGAACAAGGUAGCUUGGUUAAUAACCUUGCUGCUUGAUGGUACCGCAAGAGGAAGAGACGGCUAACUCUGUGCCAGCAGCCGCGGUAAUACAGAGGUCUCAAGCGUUGUUCGGAAUCACUGGGCGUAAAGGGUGCGUAGGCUGCGCCGUAAGUCAGAUGUGAAAGCUCAGGGCUCAACCCUGAAAUUGCAUCCGAUACUGCGGUGCUAGAGAAAUGAAGGGGAGUCUAGAAUUUUCGGUGUAGCAGUGAAAUGCGUAGAUAUCGAAAGGAAUACCAAAGGCGAAGGCAGGACUCUGGGCAUUUUCUGACGCUCAUGCACGAAGGCUAGGGUAGCGAACGGG
rnacentral:rRNA from 1 species